AACGCACGAGACCUGCGGACCUGCGGAAGGAUCAUUCUUCGAGCGAGGGCGGUAGCCCGAGCGAGUGCGGGAGGUCGCCCGGUAGGGCGACUGACCGAGCGAGGGGCGCAGUCCAAGAGGACGAGCAGCCCCCGGAGGACCGAGCAACUGGUAGGGGGAGAGUCCGGGCGGGGGAGGCGGAGAGCUUGCAGCCCGGGACGCCACAACUACACUCAACUCAGCACACCACAAACACUACAA
rnacentral:misc_RNA from 1 species